UAGUUGAGAAGCUUUUGUAGGUCUUAACAAAGGGCAGGAUUGAAUUGUAAUGCACUCAUCUUAUCUGUGUGACAGGAAAGAAUAAUGAACCACACGAGAGCACUGUUUACUCCAAUGUGAAGAUGGCGUCAUCUGCAGAGGACAAUUUGAUGUAUGCCCAAGUUCACCCUCACACUAAAGACAAGAAAGAUAAAGGAAAAUCAAGAUCUGCAGCAGCGGAGGAUACUGUUUAUUCUGAAAUCAAACCAGGAACAUCUCGUGAUCAAUAAAGACAUCUGUAUGGACAAAGCCGGUCAACAUUAAAAAAAAUCAGUUUAAUCAAUAAUUUCAGCUUUUUUUAUGUAAUCAUUGUGGGCACCUCUUCUAUUAGAAGAGCAGACAGUAUUUUGUACAGUUAAUCUAUCAGCAGCUCAUUUAAAAUAAAUGCAUCAUAUGGCUUUAAUCUUCUGUAUAUUUAAAAGUUUGGUUGACCUUUAAAUGCAUCAAUAAAAAAAGAAUUCUAGCAAUAUGCGUUUACUUUAUGUUCUUUACACAUGCAGUUGAAUGUUUUUCUCAUAUUCGUACCUCUGAUUUUGCUGAUCCAGUGAAGUUCUGCUUUUGGGAACAGAAACAAAUGAAGACAUGUUUCACUUUCAACCAUCAGGUAUAUUGCUUUAAAUCUAAAAACCUCUGCAAUUGUAAAUAAAGCUCUUUGUGACAAGAAAUAAGUUUGAAGUGUAUCAGUAAUUUGUUUUACAUCAUGGGGUGAACAGCAGAUGGCAGCAUUAGACAAUAGGAUUCUUAGGAACACAUGUCCAACCUGCAUUACAACAAUAAGAUUCAGGUUGAAAAUGAGUAAAAUGGCCCUUUAUUACUUAC